rnacentral:rRNA from 1 species
UACAGAGGGUGCAAGCGUUGUCCGGAAUUAUUGGGCGUAAAGAGCGUGUAGGCGGCCAGGUAGGUCUGCUGUGAAAACUCGAGGCUCAACCUCGAGACGUCGGCGGAAACCAUCUGGCUAGAGUCCGGAAGAGGAGAGUGGAAUUCCUGGUGUAGCGGUGAAAUGCGCAGAUAUCGGGAGGAACACCAGUGGCGAAGGCGAGUCUCUGGGAUGAUACUGACGCUGAUGCUCGAAAGCUAGGGGAGCAAACGGG